AUGGUAAUCUCAUAUGGAUCGAUCACCUCUAAGAGGGUGAUGGCGUCGCCGCCAGUUCCUUGCAUCAGUCAACCGAUAGCCCCUCUGAUGAACAAGCAAGAUAUAAGUCUUUAUUUGAACUUGAAUUUUCAUCGCGUCCAAAUGGAGCACAUAUAUCAGAAUUACUGGAUAAUUCAAGCUAAGGUCAUGUGGAAGGCUCACAUCAAAGAGAAUGCCAUGGGAAACUUGUACCUUCAGUGCAUACUACUAGAUCGUCAUGGAACAAAGAUGGAAGCGAUUGCGUACAACAGCCAGGCAAUCCGUUUCAACAGCAUGCUACAAACCGGUAGUACCUAUGAUUUCAGUCGCGUCGGGUUCAACCCCAGAGAAAUGCUUGGUGGACAUUUCUGGUACCUGGCCAUGGACUUUGUCACCACACUAAGUGAUGUGGUUGCUAUCCUUGCCUACGUUGAUAUCCAUGAAGCCAGCCUCACGACACUUGAUGAAACACUUGCGUACGUCAAUGGUGUUGUUCAAGCUAGGACCAAUGGAAGCUAG
rnacentral:rRNA from 1 species